rnacentral:rRNA from 1 species
CCUACGGGCGGCAGCAGUGGGGAAUCUUGGGCAAUGGGCGAAAGCCUGACCCAGCAACGCCGCGUGAAGGAAGAAGGCUUUCGGAUUGUAAACUUCUUUUGACAGGGAAGAGCAGAAGACGGUACCUGUCGACUUCGCCUCGGCUAACUACGUCACAGCAGCCGCGGUAAUACGUAGGUGGCAAGCGUUGUCCGGAUUUACUGGGUGUAAAGGGCGUGUAGCCGGGCUGACAAGUCAGAUGUGAAAUCCGGGGGCUCAACCCCCGAACUGCAUUUGAAACUGGGGGACUUGAGUAUCGGAGAGGCAGGUGGAAUUCCUAGUGUAGCGGUGAAAUGCGUAGAUAUUAGGAGGAACACCAGUGGCGAAGGCGGCCUGCUGGACGACAACUGACGGUGAGGCGCGAAAGCGUGGGGAGCAAACAGGAUUAGAUACCCGGGUAGUC